rnacentral:rRNA from 1 species
GAUGAACGCUGGCGGCGUGCCUAAUACAUGCAAGUCGAGCGAAUGGAUUAAGAGCUUGCUCUUAUGAAGUUAGCGGCGGACGGGUGAGUAACACGUGGGUAACCUGCCCAUAAGACUGGGAUAACUCCGGGAAACCGGGGCUAAUACCGGAUAACAUUUUGAACCGCAUGGUUCGAAAUUGAAAGGCGGCUUCGGCUGUCACUUAUGGAUGGACCCGCGUCGCAUUAGCUAGUUGGUGAGGUAACGGCUCACCAAGGCAACGAUGCGUAGCCCACCUGAGAUGGUGAGCGGCCACACGGGGACUGAGACACGGCCCAGACUCCUACGGGGGGCGGCAGUAGGGAAUCUUCCGCAAUGGACGAAAGUCUGACGGAGCAACGCCGCGUGAGUGAUGAAGGCUUUCGGGUCGUAAAACUCUGUUGUUAGGGAAGAACAAGUGCUAGUUGAAUAAGCUGGCACCUUGACGGUACCUAACCAGAAAGCCACGGCUAACUACGUGCCAGCCGCCGCCGUAC